rnacentral:rRNA from 7 species
GAGCGGCGAACGGGUGAGUAACACGUGAGUAACCUGCCCCUGACUCUGGGAUAAGCCCGGGAAACUGGGUCUAAUACCGGAUAUGACACCUCCUGGCAUCGGGUGGGUGUGGAAAGUUUUUUCGGUUGGGGAUGGACUCGCGGCCUAUCAGCUUGUUGGUGGGGUAAUGGCCUACCAAGGCGACGACGGGUAGCCGGCCUGAGAGGGCGACCGGCCACACUGGGACUGAGACACGGCCCAGACUCCUACGGGAGGCAGCAGUGGGGAAUAUUGCGCAAUGGGCGAAAGCCUGACGCAGCGACGCCGCGUGGGGGAUGACGGCCUUCGGGUUGUAAACCUCUUUCAGCAGGGACGAAGUUGACGUGUACCUGCAGAAGAAGCGCCGGCUAACUACGUGCCAGCAGCCGCGGUAAUACGUAGGGCGCAAGCGUUGUCCGGAAUUAUUGGGCGUAAAGAGCUCGUAGGUGGCUUGUCACGUCGGGUGUGAAAGCUUGGGGCUUAACUCCAGGUCUGCAUUCGAUACGGGCUGGCUAGAGGUAGGUAGGGGAGAACGGAAUUCCU